UUUGCUAUGAUGAGAUAAGAACACUCAAGUGUUGAUGGGCAGUGGGAUUGGAUCUUUCUUUUUGGAAGAUCUGCCGUGAGCCCUCUCUUUUUAACGACUUCUCCUUCCACUGAGCUCU